AAGUGCUUCAGAAACCGAACUUCGCUCCACAGCCUCCGAACAAACAGACAUUCAGUUCAUAAAAAAGAAAGACUUAUAUAGAGGAUUUAAAACCUCUGUUCGGAAUAGUCCGCACUGCAAGGCUAUUCAAAUUCGCAACGUGUAAUGACGAACUACUGUCUCCGAGGCGUGUGUAGAUAUUCGGCCGGCGUAAUAAUACUUUUCGCCUCGAGAGGUGCCACGGUUGAAGCGUCAUCAGAAGGAACGAAUCAGCUAACUGCUAUGUCAGCUGAGAUGAGGAGUAAACGGAAGUAGCAUGGCUACCGAAGGAGCUGGCCGAUCAUCUAGUAGUACCGAGGAAGACGAAAUCUCGACCGAAAAUGUACAAAAAAAAGACAUCUUCGAAACGCAAGUUGUGUUACAUGCAUAUAUCUUCGGUCAAGCAUGAAGAAACACAGAAUUUCACCAAUAUACGGUGGAAUACAUAUCGAAAUUUUCGGCAGCGGCUAGAAUUGAAGGGUGAGUGCAGAGACGUAGCAGAACAUUUUAAGCAAUGUAUUGAGUUGGAGUUUGAUGGCUCUCCAUCCCACAUGCUACCGGAGGUUUAUUGACAAGCGGGAAAUUGAACGAGUCACACGGCGUGUCUUGCGAGAGGCAGAGAGGGGAGAUGGCCAACAAGACCCCCGAACUAGCCAGGCUACCUCCGCUUUAUCGGCUGUGACCACCACUCCGACCAGGAAACUGCGAUCCAGAUCAAGCUUGGCCAUCACGAGCUCUGGCCCCGUUCUUCCUGCUGUCUGCAUGAUUUGCAAGAAAGACAGCAAAUUUAUCGUCGCGAGUGGCAGACGUCAAAGAGAACGAAAACACAGACUUUAACCGCAGGCAAGUUGCAGGAAGCAGCUGAAGUAAAGGAAGCCAAGAGCAUCCUCAUUCACAUCAAGGACAGAGACUGUGUGGCUCUGGAGGUGCAGUACCACAGAAGUUGCUACAGAGAGUACACAAGGUUUUUGAGUGAGCCUGUCAGAGCAGAGAAAGAACAGAUUGGGCCAACAUUUGAUCUGAGCUACAAGUUAUUCUGCGAGAGGGUAAUCCGCUAAAGGCUACUGAUCAACCAAGAGGUGCUGAGGAUGAGCCAAC